UGCCUGGGGUUGAAGCGUUAAAACUUAAUCAGGCUAGUUUGUUAGUGGCGUGUCCGUCCGCAGCUGGCAAGCGAAUGUAAAGACUGACUAAGCAUGUAGUACCGAGGAUGUAGGAAUUUCGGACGCGGGUUCAACUCCCGCCAGCUCCACCA
rnacentral:tmRNA from 1 species